rnacentral:rRNA from 1 species
AUGCUGUUGCACGAUUUUUAUCAACGGAGACAAUUGAAGGGUCAACCGUGUCCCUAUUCACCUCCAGUUUGGCCAGUGUGUUCUUGCCCCCUUGAGCACCCAUACUUCACGGAGAUAGGAGGAAGGGGGCAUGGCGGUAAGAUGGGGGGAGUUGCAGGGAUCGACUAUUUUGUGAUGGCAGCUCCAGGGGGACAUGGGAUGAGUGGGUGUAACAUCAAAACAGAUCCCAUUAACUACGGCAGAACUGAUCCUAGAGAAGACUUGACAUCUCUCCUCGCCAUGUCUCCUUCACAUAAUGUAAAUGCUGACGUGUAA